UACGAAGGGUGCAAACGUUGCUCGGAAUUAUUGGGCGUAAAGCGCACGUAGGCGGCUUUGCAAGUCCCAUGUGAAAUCCCACGGCUCAACCGUGGAAGUGCAUGGGAAACUGCAGAGCUUGAGUACUUAAGAGGAUCGCGGAAUUCCCGGUGUAGAGGUGAAAUUCGUAGAUAUCGGGAGGAACACCAGUGGCGAAGGCGGCGAUCUGGGAAGAUACUGACGCUGAGGUGCGAAAGCGUGGGGAGCAAACAGG
rnacentral:rRNA from 1 species